UGCAGUCGAACGAGGCGGAAGGGGGCAACUCCUUCCAGUCGAGUGGCGGACGGGUGAGUAACACGUGGGUAACCUGCCCGGAAGUGUGGAAUACCUCGGGGAAACUCGAGCUAAUACCGCAUGACAUCUUCGGGACGACAGUCCUGACGAUCAAAGCGGGGUCGCAAGAUCUCGCGCUACCGGAUGGGCCCGCGCCCGAUUAGCUAGUUGGUGAGGUAACGGCUCACCAAGGCUUCGAUCGGUAACCGGCCUGAGAGGGCGAUCGGUCACACCGGAACUGAGACACGGUCCGGACUCCUACGGGAGGCAGCAGUGGGGAAUCUUGCGCAAUGGGCGAAAGCCUGACGCAGCAACGCCGCGUGGAGGAUGAAGGCCCUUGGGUUGUAAACUCCUGUCGGCUGGGAAGAAAUCGUGCGGUGCUCAUACCACCGUACGUUGACUGUACCAGCAAAGGAAGCCCCGGCUAACUCUGUGCCAGCAGCCGCGGUAAUACAGAGGGGGCUAGCGUUAUUCGGAAUUAUUGGGCGUAAAGGGCGCGUAGGCGGCCAUGCGUGUCUUCCGUGAAAUCCCUCGGCUUAACUGAGGACGUGCGGAAGAAACUGCAAGGCUCGAGUCCGGGAGAGGGGGGUGGAAUUCCCAGUGUAGCGGUGAAAUGCGUAGAUAUUGAGAGGAACACCGGUGGCGAAGGCGGCCCCCUGGACCGGUACUGACGCUGAGGCGCGAAAGCGUGGGUAGCAAACGGGAUUAGAUACCCCGGUAGUCCACGCCGUAAACGAUGGGCACUUGGUGUCGCGGUAUCGACCCCUGCGG
rnacentral:rRNA from 1 species